UUUGAAGGGCUCUGACUCUAUUACUAUAAGAAUAUGUUGGUUUUUUUUUAACUGAAGAUAAGAAUAUUAAAUUCUUUUUUAUUCUGAUCUAGUGAAUGAAUACUGGUAUUCUUACUCAGCUUUAAGCCAGAAUAUCUUGAAAGCCAGAAAGUUGAUAAACCUAGAAAUGAAAAGUUCUUCAUACAGUCUUUUAAAAAUCAUAGGUACUAAAAAAACAAAAACAAAAAACAUGGCAGGAAGAUGGGGCUUGGGUGCCGGUAGAUGGUUACCGUCUAUAUAAGAAAAAAAUUGUGAUUACUAUGGCACCUAUCAUUGCCUGGCAGCAACUAACAAUAUCAAAAAUGCUAUUUUUGAUUACAGUUUAACUUACACAAAAUGACUCCAAUCUUACAAAACAACUCAGCUUGGAAGAUGGAAGAAAAUGCAUUUUCACCCACCAAAACAUAUGUCUGGAGGAGGAGCCAUGUGAAGUAGAAAAAACAGAGAUUAGAACGUGGUCCUCCAGUUCUUAAUUCUGAUUCUUUCCAUGGAAGUAAGUGCUGACCAACAUAACAUGUUGACCAACAAAGAUGGUAUCAUGGAGGUAAAGAUGGUCAAAUGAUACAACUCAGUGGAAACCAGUGGUAAAUCCAUAGCAAAUAUAACUUGUGUUGUUUAUCCUUUGCCUUUUGGAAUGGUUUUAUGGCACUACCCUACUGGUAAAAGAAUUUGAGAAUUAUAACUAAAAGCAUUUUUUAGUCUAGUAAUAUUUAUAGACCAGCUGGUAAAGUAUAGUGUUAACAAAUAGGUUAAAGAUAAUUUUAUAUGUCAAUACAAUGUUCCUAGUUUAAUAGCUUUUUAAAAAGAAAUUAUGUUAGUGUCUAUCUGUACAGAUCUAGUCAACAAGAAUGAUGGUGUCUUCAUAAAACAUUUUUUAAAUGUCAUUUUUUAAAUGUAGAAUAUUUAAUGAUGUGGAACAAUUCAUGAUAAGAACAACGUCAAAUUAGAAAAGAUUUACCAUAGGAUGACAGGAAAUACCAUAGAAUUUACUUAGGAAAUACUAAACAAACACAACAAACUUCUUAUCAUCUCUUAUCCACAUUUCAGUUUCUAAUAUUAUUCCUCACUAAAAAGUCAGGAAAGGGAAGUACAUGGUGAGUCCAGGGUAUCUUGUUACUAAAAAUAAAGAAGUUUUCAGUGACCAAUGGAUUUAAGAGCCGGGCUGAUGUGAUUCCAUGUGACACCAUAUCGGCAUCAAGAUUUUAGUUAACUGAGGACACCUGGGUGGCUCAGUCAGUUAAGCAUCUGCCUUUGGGCUGGGUCAUGAUCCCGGGGUCCUGGGAUUGAGUCCUGUGUCUGUUUCUCCCUCUCCCUCUGCAGCUCUCCUUGCUUGUGCUCUCUCUCUGUGUCAAAUAAACAAACAAAAUCUCUUAAAAAAAAAAAAAGGGGGGGGUGGAUUUUAGUUAACCAAAAGACAUUGGGUCUACAAAGAUUUUCUAAGUCCUUCAUGACUACCACGUGAGCCAUUAAAACUUCUUUGUCACCAUUUGAGGAAGCCAUUAAACCAACUCCUCAGUUUGAAAACUGGUAAGUAAAGGAAAGCAUUACACUUUUACUCUGCCUUUCACAUAGACCUUUAUUUCUAAUAACCAGUAGUCCUAGCAAUAAGUGAAAGCUGUGCUUUACAGAAGAAUGCCAGCUAAUAAAUGUUGAUAAUGAUAGAAAUAUAAAAUUUUUCAACAUUUGAAGUCCCCAAUGAAAUUACUAUCUCAGACAAGGAUUAUCAGCUGGUAUUAAAAUUAUCAAAUGAUUGAUCUAUGUUGUUUGCCCAGGGCACAUCAAAAAAUAUGCUCUCAUCACAAGGGGGAAACCAUGAUUGCACAAUGGAGAAUAAGGCCAUCAUCACCCUAAUUCAUUGACCAAACUUAGCACUCCCAGUGGUGGAACAACUAGGAACUACACAUCUUCUAAUGGGUUGGCUGUGGCGUAAAUAUAUGUGUACAUAUGGUGUACUCUCAACUAAAAUAUUUGACUUGAAUCUGUCAAGUCUUUAUAUGUAACUUUCACUUAACAAGAAAUAUAUAAAAGAAUAAGUUAAAAGUUGUCCAAAGAAAAAAAAAAGGAAUCAGACAAAUCUAGAGAUGAAAAGUAUUACAUGACAGAUCCGUAUCAUGAAAAGAAGAGAUUCUUCUAGAGUAAAGAAGGGGUAAAGUAUACAGCUAUGGUAAUGUGCACUGGAGUAGAUUCUGAUUUGAAUAAACCCACUCUAAAUGGUAUUUUGAGGGCAACUUGUGAAAUAUGGACUGGGCAUAUUGAAAAUUAUUAGUUUUGUGAAAUAUGAUUAAUAUUUUUAGCUAUGAAGAAAAAACUUUUUAAUCCAUACUAAGGUAUUCAAAAUGUUAAUGCUUGUUAAUUACAAAAAUGGUAAUGGUAGUGGAGUAUAGGCUUUGGUUUGAUCCCUGGCUUCACCAUUUACCAGCUGGUCGAGGCAUGCAAACUCUAUGCCUGAGUUACCUCGUUAUGUUAUAAUGGCAAUUAUAUGAGAUGAGAUGAUGCAUAGUUUAACAACUAUCUACUGCAAUUUCCCCAUUAACUUCCUGAUGGUUCAUCUAUUUUCUAUCCUAAAUUUUCAAAAAUCUCUUCUUUGUUCCUUUGUUGUAAGCUUUCACUUGACUUCAUUCUGAUUUCCACUCAAGAUUCUUUUGUUCCCUCUGCACUGUGAGGACUCUGAAAUCAUCUUUUGUUAUCUCUGCACCACUGAGUAUUCUGAUUACAUAAUCACUCACUUCUCUUAGGACUUUUUGUCACUGAAGAAUUCAACAGUCCCUGCCACUGUGUCACUUGGUGACUGUUCAUUUAGGACAAUAUCUUUUUUCUUACUGACUCUUCAUAAUGUCCUUCAGCUGUUUAUUUCCUCACAUAGUCCUGCCUGAUUUAUUCCCAUCCAUUUGUUCAAUCUCUCCCUUCCUCCCCCUCCCACUGUUUCUCAUUCUGUUUCUUUAUGUCCAUGAAAGAGAUGUUAAGGAAUGUUGAACAUUCCUCUACUUCUCUUGUCUUCCUGACUCCUUUACCUUGCUCUUCAGGGGAAACUGAAUCAAGUGUGCUUUGUGUAAACCUUGAACUACCUUGCUGUCCACUCUCCAAUUCUCUCCCAAGCGUGGGCCCUGACUUUUAUUACCCUUAAGGAUCAGAAGCAGCCAUGAUAAGGUCUUCCUUAACCUCUUCUUUCUUUUUUCUUCCUUCCUUCCUUCCUUUCUCUUUAUUCCUUUUCUUUUUCUCUUUCUUUAGAUUUUAUGUAUUCAUUUGACAGAGAAACAGAGCGCCAGCAGGGGGAGCAGCAGAGGGAGAGAAGCAGACCCCGCUCCAAGCAAGGAGCCCACGAAGGGGCUCCAGUCCAGGACCCUGGGACCUUGAUCUGAGCUGAAGGCAGAUACUUAACCGAUUGAGCCACCCAGGAGCCCCAACCUCUCCUUUCUUAACUAAAUCCAAAAUACUUGUUGUGAUCUCUAAUUUUCAGACUUUUCAGUCUCUGGAGGUUGUGAUGAGUGGAUCUUAAUUUGCAUAUAACCGGCUUGCUUGCUCUUCCAGUGAGGAAUUUAACUAUCUCCUUUGAUGGCAGCUACUUGCCCUCCUCUCCCACCUGUCCCGCAUUUGCAGAGGAGGAAUUCCUUCCCGUUCUUUCAUCACACUUAUUUUUUCUGUUCCUGCAAUUUCUGUGCAAAGAACAGAAACAUUCUAUUUUCUGGAGCACAUUCACCCAAGAAAACCAAUUCUGAUGAAGAACCCACUUUGAGAGAGUAAAUGAAAAUGAUGAUAUGGUAAAGGAAGUUCAUUCCUUUAAAAGCUCCUACUUGUUUCUUUAGGGAUCUGAAUAUAUAGAUCAGUAUAUAGUUAGAGUCACUAAUACAUGGCAAACUGAGCUGUUUAGAUCACAAGCCACCAGAGAUCCUCCCUACCUCCAGUGUAAGAAAGUCAGCUGUUUAUUGAUUGGGGGGUGGGGGCACGUUAUGGUGCUUCUGGUUUCCUGUGUCCUCAUCAUCCGCAAGGGGUCAGGUCUCAGCUUCAUCCCUUGCACUCCUGCUUUUCCUAAGUGGCCCCAGAAAAGAGACUCAGAGCUCUAAUAUCUUCAUCUAUAAAAUCAAAAAGAAGCGAAUAGUACCUCCGAAGGGAAAGAUAAUUAAAAGUUAUGUAAAGAUACUUCUGUAUCUCUCUCAGAGAGAGAAAGAGAGCGCAAGCAAGAGACACACGUAAAGUCCUUCUGCCAGGAGUAACUGUGAUUUCCCAUCCUUCUAACUUCUGCAUGAGAUUGUUUCUAACUUCUAUUUCAUGUCCUAUGGAAGCCAAACAUUUCUCCACAUUGGUUUUAUCUUCUUGAGCAUACUUACUUGAAGCUCCUUACUUCUAAUUAAUCAGUUCGAUUUAUGAACAGCCAUCCCACUGGUCCUCAUAAGUGGUUCCUAUUCUACACAACAUUGACACAGAUGCCGAACAUGGAUACUUCCCAGGGUUUCAUCGCCCUACCCUCACCCAAAACCAAAGCCCAGGAAAAACAAAACCCUGCAUGCAAGCCUUUCCUUCGGCAGCCAACUUGAAUAAAAGAGGAUUGCAGAGGGAGAGGAGAGAAAUAUCACAACAAUGCAACAACUUCAGUGGAGCACUCAGCAAGUCCUACACCAUCCAUCCCUAGGUUCUUUGGCCCUCUUGUCCCGCGCUACACCUCCAGGCUUAUGCCAUCGUGCCAGCUUUCUUCUCCUGGGUAGGAAGUUAGCGCUCUCUAUGACUCCAAAUUUUCUCUCCAGGUAGAGCAAGUUCCCUCUUUUCUUUGUCUAAUUACAUAUUUAGCCCCUUAACCAAGGCAACUGAGGUCCUUAGUAGAAAAGGAUGAGGAGUUCAUUCCAUAGGAUUUAUUUUCCUUGGAAGUUGUAGAUAACAUUUUCCCCAUACAUUACAUAAUGGUUUGAGUUCUUAAUGCAAGUGUGGCUACAGAAUCAGUUUUUUUUUUUUUUUUAAAUGCCAUUUACCUAGAGUUUAUAGACCGAAGAAUAGAGAACUACCUCAAAAUAAACACAAGAAGUAGAACACACAGGAUCAAGGUUAUGUGCAAGUGCAGUUUGGUUUCAAUGUUCCCAAAUAGCUGUAGUGAUUUAAAAAGAGGGAGAGAGAGAGAGAGACCUUGAUAAAUACUGUUCAAGGUCUACUCUUAUCAGUAAAUGGCCUUGAUCUUGGCUAUUGGGUCCAGAGUUGAACAGGCUAUGUAUAUAACCCCUGGCUUAUGUUGACUUUGGAAGCUUUAUACCUCUUCAGUGACAAAAUGCUUGCCAUUUCCAAAUUUUCUAAUAUACAUACAAUGCAUGCUUUACUUCUAUUGAUUCUUUGUCUCAAGAGAGAAUUGAGUUUAACUACCCCUUUGUUUAAGCCUAUUAUUUAUAAGCUUUGAAAAGUAUGCCAUUUCAAGGUGAACAAAACAAGGAGAGGGAAAUAAUAUCAAUUCAAAUAAUAUCAUCUCAAUAGAACCACCUUUAGGCCCUCCUUUGAGACAUAUUUUUUUAAACACAUAGUACCUAAUGUGUGGCCAGUAUCAGGUGAACCCAAGGUGAACUGGAGGCUGGGGUGUGGAGAAAGUUCUUGCUAUCUUUCUUUGAACUUCAAUUAAGCAACCAACAAAAAUAGCAUGUCCUGUGACUUCAGAUGCUUGAACCAGUUUUUCAAUUAAGUUUUGGGAGAUUAACACCAUGGCAAUGAAAGAGGUUACGUCCAUCCACCAGCUUGGAUAUGCCCAAACAGUUCUAAGAUAACUCAUUCAAAGAAAAAUUCAACUAAUUCUUUUUUUAAAAAAGAUUUUAUUUAUUUAUUUGACAGACAGAGAUCACAAGUAGGCAGAGAGUGAGUGGGGGAAGCAGAUUCCCUGAUGAGCAGAGAGCUCAAUGUGGGGCUCGAUCCACAUUGUUGGGUUACGUGUUUAAAAUUUAAAGUUAUCUAUUUCUCGGGGGCGCCUGGGUGGCUCAGUAGGUUAAGCCUCUACCUUCAGCUCAGGUCAUGAUCCCAAGGUCCUGGGAUCAAGCCCCACCUCAGGCUCCCUGCUCAGCAGGGAGCCUAUUUCCUCCUCUCUCUUUGCCUGUGUCUCUGCCUGCUUGUGAUCUCUGUCUGUCAAAUAAAGAAAAUUAAAUUUUUAAAAAACUGUUAAAAAGUUAUCUAUUUCUCAAAUGUUCACGUCUCAUAUGGGUUUCUGUAGAAGCAAUGUGGUAUAUAGACACAGCAUGGCUUAGAGGAAGGAAAUGACUAUAACCCGCAGCCUCGUCUUUUUUCCACCACUUACCAUCAGUGGGACACUGGGCAAAUCACUUCAUCCCUCUAAAGAGUUAAACAACAUAAGAAAUGAUUAUGCCUCUGCUGUCUAUUGAUUUGAGACCUUUCUUGCUUUCCUGACCACUCUCUGUGAAAUAAGGAUCAUUCUUUUCAGUUUUUCUAAAAUUUGUUUACAUCUUAAGGGGUCUAGUACUUUUUAAAUAAGUGGAAUUCGAUGAAAAAUAAAACUAUUCUGUUGAUAACUGUCAUGAUCUUCGAGUCAUCUCCAAAGCUCCUGUCGACAUUCGACCAUAAUAACAUGCUGACUUAGAAGCCUACUGAUUUCUUCCAAAAUAGGAAAACAAUGUAGAUCAGUCCCCCUGAAGAUUCUUCCAACUCUGAAAUCUUUUGAUGAUUUCUUGAGGAUUGUGAUCAGAAUGGCAAGAGAGAAAAAAAUAUAGAGACAACAUGUUAGUCCUUUCUAUCCUUAAUUAAGAAUUAUUUGAGGGGUGCCUGGGUGGCUCAGUGGGUUAAGCCUCUGCCUUCGGCUCAGGUCAUGAUCUCAGGGUCCUGGGAUCGAGCCCCACAUUGAGCUCUCUGCUCAGCAGGGAAUCUGCUUUCCCCACUCGAUCUCUGCCUACUUGUGAUCUCUGUCUGUCAAAUAAAUAAAUAAAAUCUUUUUUAAAAAAAGAAUUAGUUGAAUUUUUCUUUGAAUGGGUUAUCUUAGAACUGUUUGGGCAUAUCCAAGCUCGUAGAUGGACGUAACCUGUUGUAUGCAGAAAGCAGGCUUUCUGUGAGGGCAACGCUGCUUCUAGCCCAGCAUUUUAUAACCCAGUUUUACUUCUGGCCAAACAAAUCAUGGCCCACCCAGACUCAAGGGGAGGGGAACUGACUCCACCUCUCAAAGAGAAGAGUUAUCAUCUUUAGUUGGCCACAAGUUCAUUUUCCAGAAACAUCACUCUCAAACCUUUUUACCUCAAAUGACAUUUCAGAAAGCCAUAUGGAUUGGAAGAGUAACAUAGGCAGGAUUUGAUACAGAGAAAUUGUAUCUUUGUUUUGGAGUUAAGCAUACCCUAAUGUAAUAUAAUGUGGAAUAACAUAGCACAAUGUGAAUGCCCUAUUUUAAGGAUCCAUCUUCCUUGUUAAUGUGGCUUCAGAAAAUUCCCACUCCAGGUUAGGAUAAGUUAUUUCAUCAAUAUUGUGGGUGGUUGGAUAGGGAGAAGAAAUAAAAAUUCUUCCAAAAAGAACUAAUGUUUAUGUUUGUAUCCAAUAGUCACACUGAAUGUGAAAAACCAUGUCUCAGAGUCUGGUAGUUGUGCUUUAUUGAGUUUAAUAAGCAACUAAGGUGCCUUCUUAUUUUCAGUCUAGAGUAGCAUCUGAGGACAUUGCCUUGAUGUUCAAGGCUUUGCAGAUAAAAUCAGCAGGCUACAAAACAACAACAACCAGUGCAGAACUGCUCCAUCUUUUCAGAGCUACAGGUUACACAAACUUGAUUCGUCACCUUUGGAAUCUAGCCAUUGAUAGAGGUAAUUGUUCUGUGACCAGGCCCCGCAAAUGGGAGCUUUCCAGCAAGUGUACCAUGAAUAGGUAACUAGAGUGCAGAGACAGACAGGACUGGGCAAGCUGGCUGAGUGCUGGAAUAGUUAGAGCCCUCAGCCCAACUCCCCGACCAAUGACCUCCAGCUUCAAGCAGGCCCUUCCAGUUACCCCCAUGUGUCUAAAAUAGGAUAAUUUUUCUAUGUGUAUCAAGUUAAGGGAAAAAAUUAAGAAUGACCAGCCUGGCUAAUAGCUAUCAUCACAUUUUUAAGCAUCCAGGUUAGAAGGUCACCUAGUCUAAUAUCUAGACUAAUUUAUCAACAAAUGUAUUUGUUUUCUAACAACAGCAAGGUUCUAGAACACUUGUCUCACCAGUUGAUUUUUUUUUUUGCAAUUUUGGUAAAAUACACAAUAAAAUUUACCAUCUUAACCAUUUUUAAGUGCACAGUUAGUAGUGUUACGUACAUUUAUAUUGUUGGGCAACCAAUUUCCAGAACUCUUUUCAUGUCACAAAACUAAAAUUCUGUAUCCCUUAGACAACAACUCCCUAUGACCCCCUCCUCCAGUCCCUAGAAACCACAAUUCUCUUUUCUGCCACUAUUUGAAUUCGACUUCUCGAAGUACCUCAAGUGAGUGGGAUUGAACAGUAUCUGUUUCUCGUGACUGGCUCAUUUCAUUUAGCAUAAUGUCCUCAAGAUUCAUAUGUGUUGUAGCAUGUGUCAGAAUUUCCUUCCUUUUAAAAAUUGAGUGGUAUUCCAUCGUAUGUGUCUACCACAUUUGUUUAACCUACCUAUGUUUUAUGCAUGUUUUUAUUAUUGAUACAAAUUUACCUGACCUUCUGGAGCAAGAUCAGGGUAUCUAGAGCCAUUUCAUUAUGAGUUACUGUCAUUUAUUAUCCCUCUUAAGUAAAUACAUCUGCUCAAAAGUCAGCCACAAUAUUGGGGGUUUUUCUGAGAGGGUGCUUUUUUGUUUGUUUUGCUCUUGCCUUGAUAAUGUUAAUGGGUGUUAUCUAAUAAAAACGGGACAAAAAUUAUUAGAACUCUAGUCCAGGCCAAAGAACUUGAGUGUCUAUGACAUUGGUUGGAAUACCUCGAUGGUUGGUUUCAUUCUAGGAUUAUAUUAGUGAAGACCCUUGGUUGCCAAAGCCUCAGGGCAUCUCAGAGAAUCUAAAGAGAAUCUAAGGAGUAGAAAGGGGAGGACAUAUCUGAGCUGCAGGAGCAGCUGACCCAGGAAUUCAAAUGGCAUCAAGACUCUCUCUUGAAUAUCUACUUUUCUCUUGUCUGCCAGCCUCAUCCUUCUCUCUUUCUGUAUCCUGGCCUUCUCCACAUGGCAGGAAGUAAAGUCACUUCAGGACAUAACUGAACAACUUUCAGCUCCUCAUUGACUUUAGCAAUCUUCGAGGAACUCAGACUCCCCAGAGCCCACUUCAGAUAUAACCACGCGGACAAUGAACACCCUGUCAUGAGGGGAUCCCAGGGCCUGGAGAACAUGGACAAAGGAUUCUCCACAGAGAAUCUGAUCAAGGCCUUCUUGAGGGGCUGCAUACACACCACCAGACACGCAAUCCUUACAGCCCCUGCCCUGAGAGACUCCAUCUUUGUAGAGAAGCAAUGGCUGAUUGGUGUCCUCUUUUUCUGAGUGGGGGUUUUUAUUGCAGUUACCAAGCCUUGCUUUGCCACGUUCUCAGCCGGAACAUAACACAAGCAGAGCCACUGUGUGGUGUCAUCUUCUCACGGUAUCUCCGAUGAUACAGCUCCAUGUGUCUGAUUCCUCUGUCCCAAUCUCCAUCCCCUGUCCUGCUUCCUUUCUUCUGCUCACAGAGGGCUGGGACAGCAGGAAAAGGGGUGCUCCACUGGCCUUCCCUUACCUGCUUUGUCAAACUCAGCUGGCAUGCCUCUGAUCCUUCUUUUUUCGGAAAGCGUUCCUUCACCAACGAAUCAAGGGCUAGCGAGCUAAGAACUAGUUUGUGGCUUCCCAACAUCCUUAGCAUGUGAGUGCUGGUCUGUUGUGAUCUGGCCCUGCUGGAACAUCCAAAAUUAAUCAUCCAUCCUCAGCACACUCCCAUCCCACAACCAGCUGUUCCUAAACUCCAUCUGCCUUUCCCUUCUCGCCAACAGUAGCAGGUGUUAGGGGCUUUGCACUGAGGCUUUCAGGGCGCAGAUAAUUCCUGGCCAUGAGUCACUUAAUUUCUCUCAAUCUUAGUGUUCUCAUCCAGAACAACAACCAAAAAAAGAUAGUAACAGUAUAAACCUCAUACAGCAAUCGAGAGAGAUAGGUGAGGCAAUCUGUGAGAGCCCUCAGUGCAGUGUAUCUAACCCAUAGUAAGCAGGCAAUCCAUUUACCAUUAGUAGUAGUCCCAGUUCAAAAUACUGGGUGGAAUUAGAUAAUGGAGAGUUCAAUCUGAUAUAAUAAAUCAAGAGAUGUGAUCUAUGAAAAUCUUAAUAGAAUUCCUAUGUCACUUCCUGUCACUAAUUUCAUUAAUUGUAAUUCUAGGUGAUUCCAUUCUCCUGGAUAUACUCAUGGGUUGGGGGUUGGAGUAAAGGGUUGGAACCUCUUUGGAAUCCUCAUUCCUGCUAUGACUUGAAAAGAUGUAUUCUAGGAGAUAUGCCUCUGUGUCUUGGAGAUUGACCACUGAUUUCUCUUGUUCCUACACUUUCCAGCCUCACAGGUCAAUCACAAGACUGUUUUCUUUGUUGGCACUUGCAUGGUUUUCAGGACUGGUGGGAGGCAUACCUGUACCCUAAAAUCAAUAAUGACUUGCAAAGAUAUGUUUACUUUGACUUUAGUUCUAUUGGAAUUCUGUAACCUUGGGCAGUUCUCAAAUAUAUUUUUUCUGAAGGGCAAAGUCAAGAGGUUCCCCAUUCCCUCUCCUCCUCUUAGGAAUAGAGAUAGAGGACCAUCAGAAACAGGACAAAGCUGCUGCUCUGCAGGUUCUGAGAAUUUCAACUUGUGGGACUUUCAUGGUGAGAUUUCAGGUUCAUCCUAUCAACAUCUCGCUCUCCAUCCAGGGCCCUCUGCCAUGAGAGUGGAACACCGGCCAUGCUCUCUCUGGGCAGCCAUUUAUAGUUCUGCCAUUCUGGUUUUUUUUCACUACUACCCCUCUGUGGAUAAUGCACAUAACAAAGAUAUUACCUACUACCCCUCUGUGGAUAAUGCACGUAACAAAGAUAUUACCUACUACCCCUCUGUGGAUAAUGCACGUAACAAAGAUAUUACCUACUAUGUAAACCCAUCUAGGAAGUUCUCAUUUUUAUCCCUCAUAAUAUUCUGAAACCUGGAGCAUUAAGCAAUCUCUUGUAAUAAUAAUCACAAUUUCUGUAAGGCUCAUUUAGGGCUGCUGUGCAGGGUUUUAAGUACUCACUGACGACUCGUGGCGCCUCUAUGAGGUGGCUGCUUUGUUAUCCCCUUUUCAAAGGUAAGGAAAUUGAGCCACAGAGAGAUUUAGAUCAUGAGGCUAGUAAGUGGAAAAGCUGAGAAGCAAAUGCAGGUAUCCUGGCUCCAGAAUCAGAUUGCUAGCCCCUGUUUUAGCCCCUAAAAUGGCCCCAAUGAUCCCUGCCUUCUGACCUUCAGGCUUCUAUGUGGAAGCUGAAGAUUUUGACUUGCCUCUAAUAAAUAGAACAACAGAAGAGACAAGAUAUUAUUUCUGAGGUUAGGAUAUAAAACAAUGGCAGGUUCCAUUUAGGGCACUCCUUCUUGCUCUCUUGGGUGACUCACGCAUGAAAGCCAGCCUCCAUGGCAUGCAAGAGCCCUGUAAAGAAGCUCACAGGAGUAAACUGAAUACAAAUUUCUAAAUCUGCCAACAGCUAUGGAAGUGAGCCUGGCAACAGAUUCCUCAGCCCCAGUCUGACCUUGAGAUGACUGCAAACUUGGGGAAGACUUUGAGCCACAGGUACCCCACUAAGAGGUCUGGACUCCUGGCCAGUAGAAACUUGUUUUCCACUGGCCCUCAUGGGUUGCCUACCAAGGCACCUGCCCAACUGACCAUCCCUUCACUUGACUUUGGUUCUGAGGGGAGCUAGAGUGGAGCACAGAGCUACCCUCAGCUGAGAACUGAGAAGCAAAGCCUGAGAACCGAACUUCAUGAAGUUGCUGUAAACUUUUGGGAAACAAGGUGAGUCAGGCAGCCCUGGUCCAUCACACACUGGCCUCCAACGAGUGAUCUGCAGUCACCACAGUGAGGGAAAAGAGAAGUGGCCAAUGCUGAAGAAGUUCCCUUAAAUCCAGCCUGGGAGUGACUGACAGCGCUGGUGACCUCAUCCUAUUAACCUUCUGCUAACCCAGUCACCUGGCCCCAACCUCACCACAACAGAAGCCAGACCAGCUAUAAAGUAAGUCAGCAUCCAUAACUUGAAGGCUAUGAUUCUAAACGAUCUCCUGGAAAAGCGCCUCCUUCGAAAGUACCCAGAUGACCUCUUCAGAUUCUUCAUAUUCCGUCUCCCAUCCUCUGCUAAGAC